rnacentral:rRNA from 1 species
GUUAGGAAUAUUGGACAAUGGGCGCAAGCCUGAUCCAGCCAUGCCGCGUGAGUGAUGAAGGCCUUCGGGUUGUAAAGCUCUUUAGUCCACGAAUAUAAUGACUGUAGUGGAAGAAUAAGCCCCGGCUAACUUCGUGCCAGCAGCCGCGGUAAUACGAAGGGGGCGAGCGUUAUUCGGAAUCACUGGGCGUAAAGCGUGCGUAGGCUGUUUUGUAAGUCAGAAGUGAAAGCCCAGGGCUUAACCCUGGAAUUGCUUUUGAAACUACAAGACUCGAAUUCGGGAGAGGAUAGCGGAAUUGUCAGUGUAGCAGUGAAAUGCGUAGAUAUUGACAGGAACACCAGUGGCGCAAGCGGCUAUCUGGACCGAUAUUGACGCUGAGGCACGAAAGCGUGGGGAGCAAACAGGAUUAGAAACCCGUGUAGUCC